GAUGAACGCUGGCGGCGUGCCUAAUACAUGCAAGUCGAGCGAACAGACGAGGAGCUUGCUUCUCUGACGUUAGCGGCGGACGGGUGAGUAACACGUGGAUAACCUACCUAUAAGACUGGGAUAACUUCGGGAAACCGGAGCUAAUACCGGAUAAUAUUUUGAACCGCAUGGUUCAAUAGUGAAAGACGGUUUUGCUGUCACUUAUAGAUGGAUCCGCUCCGCAUUAGCUAGUUGGUAAGGUAACGGCUUACCAAGGCAACGAUGCGUAACCGACCUGAGAGGGUGAUAGGCCACACUGGAGCUGAGACACGGUCAAGACUCCUAAGGGAGGCAGCAGUAGGGAAUCUGCCGCAAUGGGCGAAAGCCUGACGGAGCAACGCCGAGUGAGAGAUGAAGGUCUUCGGAUCGGAAAACUCUGUUAUUAGGGAAGAACAUAUGUGUAAGUAACUGUGCACAUCUUGACGGUACCUAAUCAGAAAGCCACGGCUAACUACGUG
rnacentral:rRNA from 1 species